AUCCACGUUACCAUGGAGGCUGUGUUUUUUUUCAAUGACAGUCCUCCUUCCUAGGCGUGGUACAGAAAACUCUUGCUCUUAUUCAGAUGGUCUCUGCUGAUGCUGUCGCCAGAGCCGAGAAUAAGAAAGGAAACAUUU
ensembl:snoRNA